GAUCCUGGCUCAGGAUGAACGCUAGCUACAGGCUUAACACAUGCAAGUCGAGGGGCAUCAGUUUGGUUUGCUUGCAAACCAAAGCUGGCGACCGGCGCACGGGUGAGUAACACGUAUCCAACCUGCCUCAUACUCGGGGAUAGCCUUUCGAAAGAGAGAUUAAUAUCCGAUAGCAUAUAUUUCCCGCAUGGGUUUUAUAUUAAAGAAAUUCGGCAUGAGAUGGGGAUGCGUUCCAUUUAG
rnacentral:rRNA from 1 species